CAGAUUAGAGCUUGAUAUAAGUUUUUUAUUUACACUAAAAGGAUAGUUUGUGAAAACUUGGUCUGA
rnacentral:tRNA from 1 species